CACCUCGCCGGCACCCAUCUCUCCCUCUCCACCGCCCUCUACGUCCACUCCCACUUCCAAUCCCUCGGCCUCACCGCCCACACCACAAACUUCUCCGCCCUUUUUUCUUCACAAGAAAAUCACCGUCGUGGCUCCAACUCCAAUUGCCAAUCCCAAACUCACAAAAACCAGUUCUCUCAAUAAGAUCCCCACAAACUAUUUCCCAACACCAAUUUCUUCCAAUCAAUUCAUGUUUUUUUUAAUCAAUUCUCUAACUCUAGUUAUCGCCGCUUCAAUUGUUAUCGCCUCUUUAGUUUAGCCACAAGAAAUCAUUCCUUCACGGGCGGCGGCUCGAUUUUGCGUUUCUAGUUGUCGACUUCUGGAUCUUGAUUUUUGGUCAUCAAUGGACGCUCUCGAUUUCUUCGUGGGCCACGACGUUUUUCUGUUGGGGAUGGAGGUUUAUAGCGGCGACGAUGGUAGCUGGUCGUCGAUGGCUAGUUGCGAAGAAGAAGAAGAUCCGUUCUUCCAAUUGCGAAGAACACAAAUAUAAUUCACAGAGAGAGUAUUCACUUUU
rnacentral:lncRNA from 1 species